GCCACGGUGGUCUAGCGGUUGGAACGCUGGCCUUGUAACCCUGGGGGUCUCGGGUUCGAUUCCCGGCGGUGCCC
rnacentral:tRNA from 1 species